rnacentral:rRNA from 1 species
AAAACAUCACCUCUUGUAAACAUCAAAUAAGAGGCCCCGCCUGCCCUGUGACUAUAUGUUUAACGGCCGCGGUAUCUUGACCGUGCAAAGGUAGCGCAAUCAAUUGUCUUUUAAAUGAAGACCUGUAUGAAUGGCGUGACGAGGGCUUAACUGUCUCCUUCUCUUGGUCAAUGAAAUUGAUCUCCCCGUGCAGAAGCGGGGAUAGACACAUAAGACGAGAAGACCCUGUGGAGCUUUAGACGAAAGAGUAGCCCAAUGUUAAAUUAUCCAUUCAAAAGAUUUUAAGUCAAGGCCCCUAUUCUUAUGUCUUUGGUUGGGGCGACCAUGGAGUAAAAAUUAACCUCCACGCGGAAUAAAAGUACUACUCAGUAAAACCAGGGCUACCGCCCUACUAAUCAGAACUUCUGACCUCAUAGAUCCGGCUUACGCCGAUCAACGGACCGAGUUACCCCAGGGAUAACAGCGCAAUCCUCUUUAAAAGACCAUAUCUAAAAGGGGGUUUACGACCUCGAUGUUGGAUCAGGACAUCCUAUUGGUGCAGCCGCUAUUAAGGGUUCGUUUGUUCAACGAUUAAAGUCCUACGUGAUCUGA